rnacentral:lncRNA from 1 species
UCUCAGGCGUGAAACAGAGAGGAAAGAAAGAAAGAAAGAAAAAGAGAAGAAGAAAGAAGAAGAGGAAGGGGAUUCGAGGAGGAAAGGGAUCCCGGUUGCACUUCCAGCUGAAGGGAAAAGUGUAGAUCUCUUUCUCCUCUACGCAAGGACCUCGAUUUCCAAAAAGAAAAAGGUAAAUAUCCGUCCCUAUCUAGUCUUUUGAUGACAUUAGGCUAUACAAAGGGUGGAUAUAGUCUAGAGGGGUCGGAUAAGGGUUGUAGAGGCGGUUAAAAGAGGAAGAAUCGGAUUUCGACAAAUUUUUCUGGCAUUACGGAAAAACUAUGUCGAAGUCCCAACUUCGGUGAAUUAUUUCGGAGGUCAAUCGGCCUCCGAUGGUAAUGCAUGUUACCUUUUUGGAAUUUCCUAUAAGUGUAGAAUGUUAGGUAAAAAUUUCAUCAAAUUUGGAGUUUGAAAAGUGGAUCAAACCUGGGAUGAAGUAACCGGCUGUCGGUCCGGGUUACUGUUCAUCCGGGUGGGAAAAUAGGGGAUUUCAUGCCAUAAUAGGGUAUUAAGCCUAGAUCAAGCUAAAAGGGACCUUGUACUCAUGCAAGGGAGUUCCUAAUACACAUAAAUG